rnacentral:lncRNA from 1 species
CAACGAGGGGAAAGGAACAAAAUAUAAUACUGAAAAGGUAUAUGAUUUGAUCAUACCCUUCUAUUAUUCUCUUUUGCAAGUAAUGGAGUCGGUGUUUUUCCCCGUGCACUAGAUGGGUGACUCUAUCCCAGUUAUAUUUGCUACCUGGUAACAUCAUUGAUGAUUCAGGAACAAGAAAUUUCAUAAAAAAAUCAUUCUAGCAGAAUAAAAACGAGAAAAGACAAUGAAAUUGAUUCUUGAUUCUCACCUUUCUCUUCCUUAACUCUAAAUUAAUUUGAUAUUUCAUUUGGUUAAGUUUCUGAAUCAGUUCUUCAGCAUCUUCGAAUUUGUUUGUACUCAAGACUAGCUCACAUUUCUACAAAAUAACACAACCAGCUAGAAAUUUCACAAAUUCUUCAUGAAUUUUGAAACAUAUUAUCGGUUUUAAAGUAUUACAUUUUCUUAUGUAAAAUGAAUAAUAAUAAAAAUGAUCCCAACUAACCGUUCAAGGAGAAUCCACUGGCCAAAAGAAGGAAGAGAGCCAGAGAGGCAAGCCUGAUUGAUGGAGAGGACCUAAUUUGCAUUUAGUUAUAUAUUCUUGUUCGUGUUAUUACAAAAUCCAACCAGGUUUGUUGACCUUAGAAUAUCACUUGCACCCCACACCAAGUUAAUCUUGUAUAUCUUAUUCUAUUCCCUUACCAAGUUUCAACUAAUUAUUGUCUAUUUAACGUAGUUUCUGUUUGGUAGAUAUUAAAAUUAAAUUUUUAGUAGAUUUUGAUAAAAGUUGAUGAAACGUAGAUUGAGCAGUUGUGAUCCCAUAAAAUGUAUGGUAAAAUUUAACUAUUAACUUUAACUUAAAUUAUUAAAAUUUUAAUUUUAAUUUCUGCCAAAUUGACCCUUUUUUAAUUACUCAUUCAAAGUGAUAACUGGAAAUUUUUGAGCAAGUCUUGGAAUUUUUUUAUUUUCGAAUCCAUUUUCGAAUCUGCGAAGUGGCCAAGUUUUACAGAGUCUUAAGGUAUGUAUGUGAGAUUUGAAUUUUUUUAUUUUUUGGCCAUCUAUGUAUGAGGUUUCAAUUUUGUUGGAGGUGGUAUUGUGACUCAAAACUUUAAGGGAAGUGCUAUAUGUACAUAAUUGUCUACAUAAUGGUGUUCAUAAUUAUACGUGGUAUCAGAUCCAAUCUUUAAUUCAAAUUUCACACUUGUACAUCAACAAUUAAAUGAUUGCUACAUCACAUUAUGGACAUCAUUAUGUGCAAUAAUUAUGUACGAGUAGAAUUUUCUGAACUUCAAUUAGUUUUCGGGGUUGAUUACUUGGCGGGUAAAAUAUUUGUCUUAGAUAGGGGUAUAAAAAUGGACAAAUCGUGCCAUAAAAAUCUGCCAAAGAUCGAGCCAGUGGAGAAAUUAUGUUGAUGCAAUCAAUUUUUUAAGGACCUGUUUGGUAGUGAGUAUGAGAAUUGAUUUUUUAACCGUUAGAGAGAAAAGUGGGUUCCAUCUAUAAGUGAAGGAGUAAAAAUGAAUGUUAGAAAUAGUGAAAUAGAGAUUAAAAAAAAAAAUCAAUUUUUUUGGGGUGAAAAAUUGUUAUCAAAUGAGGGCUAAAAUUCAAAUGCAAAUUUAAUUAUUAUUAUUAUUUGUGGAAAUUACAUCCUCACCUACUUUUCAAGAUCAAUAUUCUAAAAUCAUAGCGAAGGUUUUUCAUUGUUCAAAAAUAAGAUAUUUUAAUUAUUAAAUAAUAUAAUACAAAUUUUAUCCAACCCUAAUUUAUUUUCAUUUUCCUCUCCCUCUCUAUAUGCCUGCUCAUCCUUUUUUCUUCCUCUCUCCUUUCAUCAAUUCAAACUUCGACAGCUGGCCAUGGACUUGCGUCGACCGUCCCUACAAGCGCUCGUCGUUGUCGAACAAGCGGUCAGUGGCUCAAUUAGUGUGCAGCGACGAGCACUGCUAGAGAGACGACGAUAAGCGUUGCAAGAGAUCUACCGGUUUAGUUGAGGCCCACUGCCACUGCGCACAGAGGUGAGGCAACAACGUUACUAUUGGACUGCUUUCUGUCGUGAAUUUGAGGAGGUCGUGGUGAUUAUUGUUUAUAACGCAGUGGUAGUGAUGAAGUGGCGGCGGCGACAGCAUCAGAUUUAGACAUUUUUUAUUAAAUGUGGUGAUUGUAGUGUGAUUGAGAUAGGAGUUGUGAUUUUUAGUACAGGAGGUAGUGUUGCUGCCCGUGACGUUGAUGGUGGUGGUGUUGGCUUCAGUGGUGAUGGUGGUCACUGUAGUGGCAAACCGACGAUAGUUUUGUAUUGUUUUGCAGUGGUGGUGGCAAUAAUGGUGAUAGUGAUGGUGGUUGUAGCGUUGGUUGUCGGUGGGAAGAAAUUGCGUUGGAUGCUCGUGACUAAUUAUUUGGUUAAUUGUGAUUAAUAAUUGAUCAAUUUGUAAUAUAUGGC